rnacentral:rRNA from 1 species
GAUGAACGCUGGCGGCGUGCCUAAUACAUGCAAGUCGAGCGAACGGACGAGAAGCUUGCUUCUCUGAUGUUAGCGGCGGACGGGUGGGUAACACGUGGAUAACCUACCUAUAAGACUGGGAUAACUUCGGGAAACCGGAGCUAAUACCGGAUGAUAUUUUGAACCGCAUGGUUCAAAAGUGAAAGACGGUCUUGCUGUCACUUAUAGAUGGAUCCGCGCUGCAUUAGCUAGUUGGUAAGGUAACGGCUUACCAAGGCAACGAUGCAUAGCCGACCUGAGAGGGUGAUCGGCCACACUGGAACUGAGACACGGUCCAGACUCCUACGGGAGGCAUCAGUAGGGAAUCUUCCGCAAUGGGCGAAAGCCUGACGGAGCAACGCCGCGUGAGUGAUGAAGGUCUUCGGAUCGUAAAACUCUGUUAUUAGGGAAGAACAUAUGUGUAAGUAACUGUGCACAUCUUGACGGUACCUAAUCAGAAAGCCACGGCUAACUACGUG